UCUGGUCCAGACUCAGUUAUUUACAGACCGCCGCCAUAUAGCUGGAAUGAGGCAUUAAACAACAACCAAACCAAAGCUGAUGGAGCCUCUUUGUUAUUACCCUGGUCAAUGGAUCACAGAGUGGCUUACACCAUGCGAGUGAGUGAGAUUAUUUUAAGCAGCUUUUAGCAAUAUUCCAGCAAUAUCACAGCGGGAAACACCAGAAAUGGGCUACACACCUUGUGCCCAUGUAGGGAAUCGAACCCGGGUCUUCGGCUUGAGGAGUGAACACUUUAACCACUAGGCUACCCCAUGGUAUGUAGUAACUUGGGAUGAUAUAGUGGUGAUCUGAGGUGAAGUAGUUGUAGUGAGGCAGGUGGGGAAUGAAAUUAAGGAUUAUUACGCUUAAGUGUAAUUGCUACAGUACUUGUAUUCUUCUGUGUGAGAUGGAAAAGAAUGUGGUGAACGGAGCUCGCCAUGACUACAUUGUUGUUUUGUUUCUGUUCAUAAUGGUAAUGUAAUUUUUGUAUAUAGCACAUUGAAUAAACUCACAUAUAUGAUAAAUAGCCUGUGAAGAUUCUUGUGUACGUUACACAAAUUAUGUUGUCUUGAAAUACAAUUCCUGAAAAUUUGACAAAC